CCCCUUUUACAACGCUCUCGGAGCGCCUAUAUCGCGAUCGCUGGGCAACCGGCUAUGGCGAUAAACGAUAUAUGGAAUAAGCGUAGUGGACCCGGGGGCAGUGCCCGGCGCCUCCACCAGUCUUCUCCCGGCGGGUCGGCCGGGCGAGGGGGGCGAAACAGGCUCGACACGCGUGGUAAAGAUGUAUCUUUCGCUCGGCAUGGUUCCGCCGUCAUCGGGCCGUUUUACAGGUGCCAACGACAACAUGGCGCUCGCUGUCGCUGCGUAAGCGAUAAGCGCGGUUCGGGGGGCACCGGGCAACAGAAGCCCCCCACU
rnacentral:tmRNA from 1 species